GACGAACGCUGGCGGCGUGCUUAACACAUGCAAGUCGAACGGAAAGGCCCUGCUUGCAGGGUACUCGAGUGGCGAACGGGUGAGUAACACGUGGGUGAUCUGCCCUGCACUUCGGGAUAAGCCUGGGAAACUGGGUCUAAUACCGGAUAGGAGCCAUUUUUAGUGUGAUGGUUGGAAAGUUUUUUCGGUGUAGGAUGAGCUCGCGGCCUAUCAGCUUGUUGGUGGGGUAAUGGCCUACCAAGGCGGCGACGGGUAGCCGGCCUGAGAGGGUGGACGGCCACAUGGGGACUGGGAUACGGCCCAGACUCCUACGGGAGGCAGCAGGGGGGAAUAUUGCACAAUGGGCGCAAGCCUGAUGCAGCGACGCCGCGUGGGGGAUGACGGCCUUCGGGUUGUAAACUCCUUUCGCUAGUGACGAAGCUUUUUGUGACGGUACCUAGAAAAGAAGCACCGGCUAACUACGUG
rnacentral:rRNA from 1 species